rnacentral:rRNA from 1 species
UACGUAGGGCGCGAGCGUUAAUCGGAAUUACUGGGCGUAAAGCGUGCGCAGGCGGUUCUCCAAGUCCGUUGUGAAAGCCCCGGGCUCAACCUGGGAAUGGCAGUGGAAACUAGGGGACUGGAAUCUGGCAGAGGGGGGUGGAAUGCCGCGUGUAGCAGUGAAAUGCGUAGAGAUGCGGCGGAACACCGAUGGCGAAGGCAGCCCCCUGGGCUGAGAUUGACGCUCAGGCACGAAAGCGUGGGGAGCAAACAGG